AGUACAGCAUAGUAGUAAUAAAAUAUAAAAAGAAAAAUAAGUGAAAAAACAAAAGUUGCAGAACCCUAGAUUUUGCUAUAAACGGACAGAUAAAGUGUACUUAGGGUUUUUUUUUUCUUUUGACUUUGAGUUGAGUUCCAAAUUUCAGAUCUAGAAGUGAAAAGAUUUUUGUUGGGAUGGCAUUUGCUGUAACAGAUGUGUAUGAGGAAUCUCUCAAAGCUCUGCCUUCUCUCUCUCCUUGUAAAUACCCACCAAACACAAACCCCGGCUCACCGACGAAAGCGCCGGCGAUGACGGAGUUUCAAGGCCCUCCCAUAGACCUCCGCCGGCGAUUUUGUUCUCUCUUUCUCUCUCCUUUGACGGUGACCAACCAACAACCAUCGCCGGUAUGCAUGCUGGAUGAUCGGAGAUUCUCUGCAUGUUGGAUGAUCGGAGAUUCUCUGCCUUGCCUUGCCUUGCCUUUUGUUCCACCCAACUGGUAUCUAUGGUCCUGGAUGCCUAAUCACUGAAAGUUAAUUUUACUCUUACAAUAUAUUUGUUCUCUACGUUCUUCUAUCUAAUGAUUCUAAAUGAACUUUGAUUAAUCGUAACUGAUCUGUAGAAGAAAAUUUUGUAGUUUGUUCUGGAAUAUAUUUUUUUUUCUUUGAUGAUAUAUUUCUGGAGUUUUUUCUGUAGAAGUGAACUUUAAUUUCCUUCUCAACUAGAAUUUGGAUAAAAUUUAGAAAGAAUGAGUAGAUAAACAUUGUUUAAUUAUGAGUAGUUGUUUUCAAUUGUGCUCAUUCUUUGCUCUGCUCUUCUGCUCAUCUUCUGUCAUCCUUGGCUUAACUGAAAAUUCUUUUGGUGGUGCUUAAUUCUUACAUUAUAACAUGUAAGCCAUUUGUCCCUGUUUUGCUGCAUAAAUUUCAUCAUUAUGAUUUUUUGGCAUGUUGAGAAUGGUGGUAAAUCUGUCAUGACUCAAGUUUCUGAAAUGAGUUCAAGAUCUUGUCAAUUCACCUGAAAAUGGCUUUAUCAAGCCACCAGCAAAUAGAGUGGUAUCAAAUUAGGUACAAUUAUGUCCUUCCUGGUGUAUACUUCUCAGUUCUCAAUGCUAAAAAUUUCAUCGUAUGGCUUUUGAAAAGCAUAUGGAUCAAUCAGAACUUUGUUUUGUUACUGCUUUCUUGACUACAAUAUACUUUCAACCUUAUUAAUUUGUUUGAAUGAGUAGGGAGAUUGAGCAAAUACAUGUGCAGGAAGAAAUCGACCUACUGGCUUACCUCUACAUAUGUUAAGCCACCAUUCCCAAUUUGAUUGCGCCGCGUGUCAACCCGAUCCCUAAACUAUUUUCAACAUCAUUACAUUUGCCAACUUACCCUAAACUAUUCUAUUUAUCUAAUAUAUAAAGUGAAGAGAGAUUUUGGGUGAUAAAUGUCAAUUUGCCAGAUUACUCCUUCUUACCUUUUUUUUUUUUUGUUUUUUUUUUUUUUUUUUUUUUUUUUUUUUUUAAGAACAACCAUCCUAAAUUGAAAAAAAAGUACCAUCCGAAUCUAACUUUUAGGAUAAAAUACAAUUAUACAAGUACUUAUCAACCGUUUUUUUUUUAAUUAUUCAAUUAAAGAAAAUACUCUAUGACUUCAUCAGAUGUUUUUAUUUUUUAAACCAAUUUUUAUUUUAUAAUUUUUUUACUUAUAUUUAUUUUUAUUAUCAACAAUUUUAAAAUUUGCAUCACUAAUAUUUAUUGUAUUCUAUUAGAAUAAAGAAGAGAAUGAGCCUAAUAAGUUUCUUAAAUUGCGCACACACACGCAAUCUUAGCUUAUUCAAUUAAAUCGGACAAGUCCUUAAACUAUUUCUAGAAUAUAUGUAAAUUAUAUGACAAAUAAUAUUUAAAGGUCCCUAAACCUAUUGCCACAUCAACAGUUAUUGGCUGGAAAUUGCUUUCCCUGGUGGUUAAUGGACCAAUUUGCCUCAUUUAAAAGGCUUACCUCUACAUAUGUUAAGCCACCAUUCCCUUCAGAUUGUGGUGCUUGUCGUGUCAGUGUUAUGGUUGGAGUGCAGCAUAACAAGUAAGAGGAGAAUUGUGUGUAGCUAGCUGAUUGUUGCGAUUUUGGGUGUUUGAGGGAAGUAGGAGUUUGGGCGGCUGAUUGGCUGCUGCGCGGUGGCUCGGUUGGGAGUAGGGGCAGCA